rnacentral:rRNA from 1 species
GUGGAUUAGAUACCCUAGUAGUCCACGCUGUAAACGAUGAUUGCUAGGUGUGGGGAGGCUGACCCUUUCCGUGCCGGAGUAAACACAAUAAGCAAUCCACCUGGGGAGUACGACCGCAAGGUUGAAACUCAAAGGAAUUGACGGGGGCCCGCACAAGCAGUGGAGUAUGUGGUUUAAUUCGAAGCAACGCGAAGAACCUUACCAGGUCUUGACAUCCAACUAACGAAGUAGAGAUACAUUAGGUGCCCUUCGGGGAAAGUUGAGACAGGUGGUGCAUGGCUGUCGCCAACU